UACGUAGGGGGCAAGCGUUGUCCGGAAUCAUUGGGCGUAAAGAGCGCGUAGGCGGUCCGGUAAGUCAGCUGUGAAAGUCAGGGGCUCAACCCUUGAAAGCCGGUUGAUACUGUCGGGCUAGAGUCCGGAAGAGGCGAGUGGAAUUCCCGGUGUAGCGGUGAAAUGCGCAGAUAUCGGGAGGAACACCAAUGGCGAAGGCAGCUCGCUGGGACGGUACUGACGCUGAGGCGCGAAAGCGUGGGGAGCAAAGCAGG
rnacentral:rRNA from 1 species